rnacentral:sRNA from 1 species
AGUGCGAGAUCCGCUGCUGCUGAGGAGAGGAGCGUCAACAGCAGCACCAUGGCAACAGAAGAACCUUGAAGGCUAUGUGGGAUUUGCCAAUCUCCCAAAUCAAGUAUACAGAAAAUCGGUGAAGAGAGGUUUUGAAUUCACGCUUAUGGUGAAUCUGGAUUGGGAAAGUCGACAUUAAUCAACUCAUUAUUCCUCACAGAUUUGUAUUCUCCAGAGUAUCCAGGUCCUUCUCAUAGAAUUAAAAAGACUGUACAGGUGGAACAAUCCAAAGUUUUAAUCAAAGAAGGUGGUGUUCAGUUGCUGCUCACAAUAGUUGAUACCCCAGGAUUUGGAGAUGCAGUGGAUAAUAGUAAUUGCUGGCAGCCUGUUAUCGACUACAUUGAUAGUAAAUUUGAGGACUACCUAAAUGCAGAAUCACGAGUGAACAGACGUCAGAUGCCUGAUAACAGGGUGCAGUGUUGUUUAUACUUCAUUGCUCCUUCAGGACAUGGGGCCAAAACCCUGUGACCAGGGUUCAAGGGCAGGAGUCAAAGCCUUAGCCACUCCAAUGCUUCUUGAAGUCCUGUUCUACCUAACUUUUGCUGGCCUAAUACAUCUUCAGAGUGUUUCUGAUAAACUUAAACCAUUGGAUAUUGAGUUUAUGAAGCGUUUGCAUGAAAAAGUGAAUAUCAUCCCACUUAUUGCCAAAGCAGACACACUCACACCAGAGGAAUGCCAACAGUUUAAAAAACAG